UCGAAUAAACUUGAACAGGCUGUUGCUGGUUCCCUCCUUGGGGGGGACAUGUGCACGCUUGUCAUCUUUAUCAUUUCUCCAAAACUGUGCACCUCUUGUAGACCUGGAGCUGGAUUUCAUUCGAAUUGGGAACUGCUGUGCUUUCACAAGUCAGCUUUGCCUUGCAAUAUUUCCAUGGUCUAUGUUCACACAAAACCUGUUUAGAAUGGUUGGACUAAAUAUUAUAAAAGUUAUA
rnacentral:misc_RNA from 1 species